AGGACGAACGCUGGCGGCGUGCUUAACACAUGCAAGUCGAGCGGUAAGGCCUUUCGGGGUACACGAGCGGCGAACGGGUGAGUAACACGUGGGUGAUCUGCCCUGCACUCUGGGAUAAGCCUGGGAAACUGGGUCUAAUACCGGAUAUGACCUGCUCUCGCAGUGGGGGUGGGUGGAAAGAUUUAUCGGUGCAGGAUGGGCCCGCGGCCUAUCAGCUUGGUUGGUGGGGUAAUGGCCUACCAAGGCGACGACGGGUA
rnacentral:rRNA from 1 species